rnacentral:rRNA from 15 species
CCAUGUCCAAACGCCUCGCGCGGACUCGAGCGUCCUUGGGUAGGAAGCCGCA